rnacentral:rRNA from 1 species
AGUGAACGCUGGCGGUAGGCCUAACACAUGCAAGUCGAACGGCAGCACAGUAAGAGCUUGCGCUUACGGGUGGCGAGUGGCGGACGGGUGAGGAAUACAUCGGAAUCUACUUUUUCGUGGGGGAUAACGUAGGGAAACUUACGCGAAUACCGCAUACGACCUACGUGUGAAAGCAGGGGAUCUUCGGACCUUGCGCGAGUGAAUGAGCCGAUGUCGGAUUAGCUAGUUGGCGGGGUAAAGGCCCACCAAGGCGACGAUCCGGAGCUGGUCUGAGAGGAUGAUCCGCCACACUGGAACUGAGACACGGUCGAGACUCCUACGGGAGGCAGCAGUGGGGAAUCUUGGACGAUGGGCGCAAGCCUGAUCCAGCCCUACCGGGUGGGUGAAGACGGACUUCGGGUUGUAAAGCCCUUUUGUUGGGAAAGAAAAGCAGCAGGUUCACACCCCGCUGUUCUGACGGUACCCAAAGAAUAAGCCCCGGCUAACUUCGUG